rnacentral:lncRNA from 10 species
CUCCAUUCCUCUGCACGGCGCCAGGCCUAUCCCUUUCCCUGAUUGUUUGGCUGAGGAAAGUUUGGAAAAUCUCCAGAAAACAAUUGUUAAAACUAAUCUGAAACAGGCUGUAAGUGGCAUGGGAGAAGUGCGAGGUGUGGACACGGGCAACCCUGCCAUGAGAUGGAGGUCUCUGAAUGUCGAAAGCGAGUGAUCUGCAGAUGUACAGUGCCCACGGGGCAGUCAGCCUUUAAGGGCAGUGUGGGAACAUGCAAAGAACAGGACCCCAGGCUCCCGUUGCAACCAGAAUACCAUCGGAGCUCCUCUGGAACAUGUCCUUGUCUUCUCAGAGUGUGAAGUGUGUGUGUGACAGUGCUUUUCUGAGGACUCAGGUGACCUGGAGGCUGGAGAACAGCAUGGAGCAAGGAAAACAAAGACGAUGUGCUGGAGUGUAUGUUGCUUUCAUAAUUAUGUGAAAGAAAAUGUAGAGAAAUUUGAAAGGAGAACUGGUUAUCAGUAGUGCCAUCCUGCUCAAAUAUCUUCAAAUACACACCACCAUCCAUGUGUGGGUUGAUUAAGGAGCUGACGUUCAUUAGAUCUGCAGUCUCCUGACCUGAUGUGCAUCAGAAUCACUGGGAGAACAAACAAACAAAAAUGAAUCCAAAACAAGCAACGAACAGACAGAUUCUCAAGUCUUGCCAAGUCCAAAGAUUGAUUUGGUGGAGAAAUUGUACUUUGAAAGCUGCCCAGACCUGUGCAAGCAUCCUGCCUCAUUCCAUUUGGCUGAAGCUCCUGCUCCACUUCUUGCUGGGCUGUGACCAUUCAGGAUCCCCCACUGUCCACCAGAGUCAGCACCUAAAAUGAGUGGGUCCUACAACCAGUGCUUGAGAGCACGGCCUCGGGACCAGAGCACCUGCCUUUCCAUCCAGUCCCUGCUUCUCAUGAGGAAGGUGUCCUUGGGGAGAGAAAAUCUUUUUCUGUCUGGUGUUUUUCAAAAUUUUGAUGAUGGACUCACAUCAAGGAUGAAGAGCUUUGAUGUCAUUUGAACACCACCACCAUCACCACCACCAGCAUCAACAAACAAACAAGCAAACAAGCGUGAACUCAGGAGCCCUGUGGCCCAGCCUCCAGUCCAUUUCCUCACUGUGAUCUGGCUAAGUCACCUCCCCUCCACCUCAGUUCAGUCACCUACACAACAGGAAUGGUGGCUCCUGGCGUGAAAAGUUCUUAGGAGCAUUCAGCAUGAUGCUGUGUGGAGCACUUGGAAACUGCGUGUGCAUCACCUCAUAUUUCUGGCCACAGGUCAUUCAGACAUCUGCCCUUUGCCCUGGAGGAGAACCACUAGGGACUUGUGCCCAUAAGCACCAAUUCUGGCUUUUACCCUACCCAUCCUUUGCCAUCCCAAACUAUGCCAUCAACAAAUUCUAGAAAUCAAGUUAGAAAUGCUGUUCCCACGAGGGUCUCUGUGGUCUCUCAGAACAACAAUCAGCUGGCCCUGCUGGGCAGAUGUUGCCCAAUCCUAACCCACACUUAGCUAUCAACUUAAUCAUUCUCAACUAAAAACACCUACCUGAACACUUUUAGGGGUUAAGAAUAGUAUAAUCUCACUUAGCCAUUUGCAUUUUUUCUUCUUUUUACAAAAAGAAAUUUAUCUUUUUUUUUUUUUGAGACGGAGUCUUGCUCUGUUGCCCAGGUUGGAGUGCAGUGGCGCAAUCUUGGCUCACUGCAAGCUCCGCCUCCUGGGUUAGCGCCAUUCUCCUGCCUCAGCCUCCCGAGUAGCUGGGACUACAGGUGCCUGCCACCACGCCUGGCUAAUUUUUUUGUAUUUUUAGUAGAGACGGGGUUUCACCGUGUUAGUCAGGAUCGUCUUGAUCUCCUGACAUCGUGAUUCGCCCUCCUCAGCCUCCCAAAGUGCUGGGAUUACAGGCGUGAGCCACUGCGCUCUGCCAAGAAUAGUAUAAUCUCACUUAGCCAUUUGUAUUUUUUCUUCUUUUUACAAAAAGAAAUUUAUCUCAUUAUUAUGUUUAAUCAGUUUCUUGAGGUAUAACUUAAGUGUGCUAAAAUUUGCUCUUUUUAGUGUACAGGUCUAGGAUUUUUGAGAAACACAUAUUCAUAUGUGACCACCCCCAUGAUCAACAUAUGGAACAGUCAUUUGCCACCCAAAAUUACCUUGUGCCCUUUUGUUGUCAGACUCUUCUUUCUCCAGACCCUGGCAACCACUGAUGGAUUUUCUGUCCCUAUAGUUUUGCCUUUUCCAGAAUGUUCUGCAAAUGUAAUCAUUUAGUAUGUAGCCUUUUAAGUCUGAUUUCUUUCACUCUGCAUAAUGCAUUUGAGAUUCACCCACGUUGUUACCUGUUACAAUGGUUUGUUCCUUUUUAUUGCGGAGUAAUAUUCCCUUGCAUGGAUGUACCACAGUUUGGGUAACCAUUCAACAGUCAAAUGAGAUUGAAUUUGUUUCCAUUUUUUGGUGAUUAUAAAUACAGCUAUAAACAUUUGUGAAAGUGUUUUGUAUGUACAUACAUUUUUCUUAGACAUUUGGUUUUAAGAGAUGUAUUUAGGUUUAGUUCCAGAUGAACAAUGAGAGACUGAAAGACUUAAGGGACCCCUGAGAAGAGCAGAGGGAAUAUUCCCUGAGGCAGCCAUCAGUCAGACCUGGCCCUGUCAUUUAAAUGUGGGCUAGUGGUAGCAAGAUGCUGUUAUUAUUUUCACCAAGGACAUUUUUUGAGUAGCAAUUAAAAUGAAGUCUAUUUCUCUGAGCCCCUGGAGAAGAACAUAAGCACAUGAUGGUAACCAUCAAUUUAGUGGGCCUAACGUUAUCUAGGUGGUUAAUGUUUCCAUGGCUUCUGGCAAUUCCCAGUGUAAGUCACCUGUGUAUACUGGGUGGAUGCUUCUUUAAAUUAAAGAUAAGCUGUUCAGCUUAAUAACAGCUAAGGGAGAAUAUAGAGCCCGUGGGUGAACUGUUUACUAACAAGCUUCUUCAGGGUCAUUCAACUUGAAUGAACUCUCUUUUAGGCUAACUUGGUUUGUGGAGGGAAUGCAUGUUUCUUAGUUAAAAUAGUUACAUUGGAAUCCCAACUGUGCACAGGACUUCAAGGGUAAUUAUGAACCCCCACUGCAGAUUUCAGGCUUAGCACCAAUUCUCCUUGCUUUCUACUUGUAUCCAUCAAAAACAGAAGUUACGAUGGAGUUACAGCUAUACUUGUAAGGGUCUCAGUGAACCUCUCCCACUAUUCUGCCUUAUCACCUUUGGGUUCCUGUGUUCUCUACCCCCUCCCCACUGCAUGUUUUCAUUCAGCCAGGAAACAUUUACUGCCUGCCUGGUAUCAAGCCCUUGCAUGAGGGUGGGAGCUCAUAAAGAUGACUACACUAGAGAAUCAUUUGACCUUUCUCAUGUAGACCUCAACAUGAAUGAGUUUCAAUGCUGAUAGGGCAAUCAUUACCUUCAGACAAAUUUUCAGGAACAGCCAAGACUAGAGAAUGUAUGGCUAAAACACAGCACUAUGCAUUUAUAAUAGUCAUGGGUUCUCCUGUUUUAAUUGUACAUGGAGAAUAUUUCAGCUUUAUUUGUAUGGGCUGCUCUUAUGUAAAACAUUAUUUCAAUGAGGAAAUGUGUUUGGGGUUCUAAAUGACUAACUUACAAACACAACUUUGAAUAAAGUCCAUGAAUAAUUUGAGGAUUUAUGUCUAUCAAUGGCUGAUUUACCAGAUUGUUGGCUUUGGGUUUAUUGGUAUCCAUGUUGAGAGGCAUCAGAUCAUCCAAGGUUUAAGUUUCGUCCUGACCACUGACUAGCAUUGAGACCUUAAUGGGAUUAAUAACAAUGAUAAUGAUAGUGACAAGAGCUAGCUUUUCAUGAGCACAGUGGCUAAGAGAGUUAGCAUCAGUUCUAGCUGCUUUCAUUGACAUAGAUGUAAAUGGGGAGGGAAACCAUGACUAGACUCAAAUCUCUGCUCUAACGUCUGAUACCUGAAUAUCACUUUGCAAGCCACGUCAUCUCUCUAAGUUGUAGCUCUUUGUCUGAAAAAUGUGGAUAGUUAAUACAUUAUAAAUAAAUUAUUAUUACAUUAAUACACAGAAAUUCAUAAUGCUAUUGUGGGGAUUACAUGAGAUGAUGGAAGUAUUUAAUCUAGUGUCUUGUAUAUGGCAAAUAAAAAAUAAAUAUUCACUGCUGUUAAU